rnacentral:rRNA from 1 species
AGGACGAACGCUGGCGGCGUGCUUAACACAUGCAAGUCGAGCGGAAAGGCCCUUUCGGGGUACUCGAGCGGCGAACGGGUGAGUAACACGUGAGUAAUCUGCCCCUAGCUCUGGGAUAGCUCCGGGAAACCGGGAUUAAUACCGGAUACGACCACUUUAGACAUCUGUUGUGGUGGAAAGAAUUUUGGCUAGGGAUGAGCUCGCGGCCUAUCAGCUUGUUGGUGGGUAAUGGCCUACAAGGCGACGACGGGUA